GAUGAACGCUGGCGGCGUGCCUAAUACAUGCAAGUCGAGCGAACAGACGAGGAUCUUGCUCCUCUGACGUUAGCGGCGGACGGGUGAGUAACACGUGGAUAACCUACCUAUAAGACUGGGAUAACUUCGGGAAACCGGAGCUAAUACCGGAUAAUAUAUUGAACCGCAUGGUUCAAUAGUGAAAGACGGUUUUGCUGUCACUUAUAGAUGGAUCCGCGCCGCAUUAGCUAGUUGGUAAGGUAACGGCUUACCAAGGCAACGAUGCGUAGCCGACCUGAGAGAGUGAUCGGCGACACUGGAACUGAGACACGGUCCAGACUCCUACGGGAGGCAGCAGUAGGGAAUCUUCCGCAAUGGGCGAAAGCCUGACGGAGCAACGCCGCGUGAGUGAUGAAGGUCUUCGGAUCGUAAGACUCUGUUAUUAGGGAAGAACAAAUGUGUAAGUAACUAUGCACGUCUUGACGGUACCUAAUCAGAAAGCCACGGCUAACUACGUG
rnacentral:rRNA from 1 species